AUUACUUUGGCAGAAUAGUGUAAUAAAUUUAGAAUUUAUGUAUGUGUUUAAAUCACAAGUAGUA
rnacentral:tRNA from 1 species